AUCUGCUUCAAUAACUCGAAAGUGCACGCGUGACGGGUAUCCUGGUCGCGAAAAGCCUUGUAGUGCUCGGCGGUACUAUCGGUUGUGUGAGCCUUGUUCCUGGUUGAAAAUCGUGCAUCCUUAUGUCUGAAGGUUUUCAUCAAGGACGCAACGGAUCGUCGUUAAUUAACUAUAAUCAGUCUCUUUGUGCGUAGACCAUUUCGGAUGACCUUCGUUGAGCAAGUAGGAGAGCGAUGUCAAUUAUACCCUGUAUAUGCAUACGAGCGAAGGCGCCGCUCCUGGAUCUGAUUUACAUGUCAUUUUCCAUUUUCGCUUAAGUAUAGCUCGACUAUGUUAUCUUCAUCUGAAAAGAUUACGCUUAAAGGUAUAUAAAUACCGGCUUUGCGAAUCUAUGAAUAUGGAGCAGUGUUACGAUAAAAUUGUGUAAUUUUCUUUAAAAAUAAGUAUAACAAGGAAGAUGAAAAAUAUAGCAAAGGAAAGGUAAAAGAACCAGAAUAAAACGUCUGAAUAAAAUCGACAAGCGGGACAUACAGAUUAUCCGCUUCACUGACGCA